GGGAGAGUGGUCGAGCGAUCAAAAGCGACAGACUAUAAAUCUGUUGAAGGUUUUCUACGUAGGUUCGAAUCCUACAUCUCCCA
rfam:Triticum aestivum genome assembly, contig: Triticum_aestivum_CS42_TGACv1_scaffold_580833_7BL